rnacentral:tRNA from 1 species
AGUAUAGCGCCGGAAUGAACGGAUUAUAUUGAUGUUAUAAAACAUAAGAAUUAAUAUCUUCUAUACUU